CUUUAAUUUUUACACGUUGGCGCUUUUAAAGGUCAUCGUUUAUUUAUACGCUGUCUUCUAAUCAUGAGUGGCCUAUGACUUCAGGUCAUCUGGAGCCUGUGAUAAUCUGACUCACUUCCUCUGUCAUGUGAGGAGAGAGAAAACUCUGUGGCGCAAGAUGGGGCCACUGACAUGAUGUGCAAGCACACUGAAAAAUCAUGACGGCUGAUGUCAUAACGUACUAUAAAAACAACUCAAGAAAAGUCAUUACAGGACAUUCCAAGAUGGGUUCAAAUUCUUUUCUUACGCUUACGGUCAAGUAACGGUAAAGAAACUGGUAAAGUAAAUGGUCGGCCUAGUUUCAGUGGAAAUGGAUUCACUGGUUAUUGUUGAAAAAUAAACUGGAGAAAGCACAAUGCGCAUUGGCGAGGAAAUGCGUUAAAGCUCGAAAACCAGAAUGGCACGAGGCCUGAUAUGCGGCAUUGUUUUGUUACCCUUGGAAACUGGGUCGAAAAAAGGCUUUCGUAUGUACGAGGAAAGUGAAAAAAGUUCAUCUAAUAACAGCCAUAUGACGGUUAGCGAGGACGAGAUCUCGCACUCUUGAUUGGCAAACCGAACAGGGUUAGGAUUUCCCCGUCUCAACCCACGGACUUUACAGAGCGGAAAUGGUGCAUUGAAUACUUAACCAACGUUUCCUCCUGCUCUGGCGGUUGGGGUUUUCUCAACGCCGACGUCGCUUGCACGUUAGCCUAGUCUGCAAUAACAGGCUAUCGAUGGAAAAACAAUGUUAUUCGAUCAACCUUUAUCCGUUAAACGCGAUUGCGACACCGUCGGUGGUGUGACGUGGCUCUAUUAUCACGGGCUGCGAGUUGCGCAAUUACGGCUCUCUGUGCACUUUGAGCAAAAUGGAUAGCGGUGGGACUUUCCCAUGACUGUGUGUGUAGUGUGGAACAAACGCCCAUGCAAAUGAGAGCGCUAAUCGAUCGGUUUAUAUAGGGAUGCGCUGAGCGAGUAGGCGGCAGAAGAGCUUUCUGCAUGCGUCUUAUCAUUCGCUGCAGGUGCGUGAGAGACAUGAUUCAGCAUCCUCAAUCUGGUACUGGUACCGAAAUGACUCACCGACAACAGAUGAUGUGGACCUGUCGAGAAAAGAGGGGAAAACUAAAGAGGGAAGCUGAACCGGACUAGACUACAUAUCAGUGGGAUGCAUCUGAGCAAGCUGUACUUUCAAGAAAAACUUUUGCUGGAAUCGCGAUGAAAAAAAGAGGAAACCCUAAACAAACACCAGAGACGAAGCGGUUUUGUUACACAUUUUACCUAAAAAUCUAUCCUAUUUAAGAAGCGAUCUGCUUUUAGGGUGAUUUUAUUGACACUGUAACAUUAAGUUACGUUUAGUUUCUUGCUUAGGCCGAAUAAAAUGGCCAGCUCGAAGCAUUCACAGUCUGCUUGAAUGGAGCUCUUGGCUUUGAGAACUGAAUUCCAAGGGUGUCUGUUGUAUAUUCAGCCCACGGAGUUCAGUUCUUAAGUUUGGAUGCUCACGGCAUCUGCUCUGAACUACGACCUCAACCAAAACGCCUGCUGCUGGACUGGAAGGUACUGAUACGGUUUACUACGUUAUCUUCUUUUAGUUUAGAGAUGACUGCUGUUUUUAGCCACACUAGUUACUAGUGUAUUAUUAACCAACUCCCUUUGUGUUAAGCAUGUAUAAAUGAUGCUUAAGUAGAUUCUGUCAGGUUGUGGAUAAUUACUGCAUAGAUUUUGCCUUCAUUUGUAAGAACCUGUUUGGUGAAAAUACACCAUUGUGUAUUUUUUUACUUUGUUGAUGUCAGAAAAAUAGCAUUAAAUUGUGUUUUUCUUGAUUCUUCGUACAAACCAUUUUGCAGCACAAAUGAGUUCUAUUAAAUAUUAGUCUUCUACUGUAAUAAAAUGUUGUGAAAAUAAAAAAAGUAUACGAGUAUGAUACACGA